GGGUUUCACCAUGUUGGCCAGGCUGGCAGAGAAAUCUCGUAACUUGGGAAUAGGUUUUACUCCAUAAAUAUUCAGGUAAGACUAGGAUCCUGGGAUUUUGGAG